rnacentral:rRNA from 1 species
UAGGGAAUAUUGCACAAUGGGCGCAAGCCUGAUGCAGCAACGCCGCGUGCGCGAUGAAGGCCUUCGGGUCGUAAAGCGCUUUUCUGGAGGACGAGGAAGGACGGUACUCCAGGAAUAAGGCUCGGCUAACUACGUGCCAGCAGCCGCGGUAAAACGUAGGAGCCAAGCGUUAUCCGAAUUUACUGGGCGUAAAGCGCGUGUAGGCGGUUAGGUAAGUUGGCUGUGAAAUCUCCUGGCUCAACUGGGAGAGGCCGGUCAAGACUGCCUGGCUGGAGGAUGGUAGAGGGAGGUGGAAUUCCGGGUGUAGUGGUGAAAUGCGUAGAUAUCCGGAGGAACACCAGUGGCGAAAGCGGCCUCCUGGGCCAUUCCUGACGCUCAGACGCGAAAGCUAGGGGAGUGAACGGGAUUAGAAACCCGGUAAUCCUAGCCGUAAACGAUGUGGACUUGGCGUCGGUGGGGUAAAGCCAGCGGUGCCGGAGCUAACGCGGUAAGUCCACCGCCUGGGGACUACGGCCGACG